rnacentral:tRNA from 1 species
GGGCGCUUAGCUCAGGGGCAGAGCGCUUCCUUGACACGGAAGAGGUCAGAGGUUCAAUUCCUCUAGCGCCCA